UGGGGAAUAUUGCACAAUGGGCGCAAGCCUGAUGCAGCCAUGCCGCGUGUAUGAAGAAGGUCUUCGGGUUGUAAAGUACUUUCAGUCGGGAGGAAGGUGUCAAGGUUAAUAACCUUUCCAAUUGACGUUACCGACAGAAGAAGCACCGGCUAACUCCGUGCCAGCAGCCGCGGUAAUACGGGGGGUGCAAGCGUUAAUCGGAAUUACUGGGCGUAAAGCGCACGCAGGCGGUUGAUUGAGUCAGAAGUGAAAUCCCCGGGCUUAACCCGGGAAUUGCAUCUGAUACUGGUCAGCUAGAGUCUUGUAGAGGGGGGUAGAAUUCCAUGUGUAGCGGUGAAAUGCGUAGAGAUGUGGAGGAAUACCGGUGGCGAAGGCGGCCCCCUGGACAAAGACUGACGCUCAGGUGCGAAAGCGUGGGGAGCAAACAGG
rnacentral:rRNA from 1 species